rnacentral:lncRNA from 1 species
UCUAAGAUUCCUUUGCACUAUGGCUCCCCCUUCUGGUUCUGCAAUGAGUAAAAACAAGCUCAUAUUACCAAGUGUGAAAUUACAGCAAGUCUUACAGGCUGGGAACUGGAAAAGAGCUUCCCCAUCAUGGUGGAUUAUACAACCAGUGGUGGAGAGUAACUCCAAAAUAUAGCAUCUUUCUACUCAUCUUACUAAAGCUCAAAGAAGGUGAUCUACAAGAUAAUGAAAACAAGGCUCAAAAUAAAAACAAGAAAUCUUUAUGAAAUUACACAAAGUGUAUGUGUUUGAACUUGGAUUUGCUUCCAACUCUGCUUGACUCUGAAAACCAUGCCCUUUCCUCUACAUGAUAUGUUCAUAUGCUCUACCCCACUUAUGGGUGGAAACUCCUCCGUCAAGCUUAUUUAAUCAAUGAAUGAAUGACUCUUCUAAAGGCAGAUACCAGCAGGUUUGGUGGUAGAGCCAGUCCUGCAAAUGUGCUCAAUGUCUUAAGCCACCUGACAGCCAGACUCCAUAUGAAAAGAUUUAACUUCUUAUUAAAAUACCUAUAAUAGUCCAGGUGCAGUGGCUCACACCUGUAAUCCCAGCACUUCGGGAG